GGGGAUGCCGGGCUUCGACAGGAGGCCGCGGAUUUGCCAGCAUGCCGAGGAGGCUCGAUCCUCGUUAAUAGCCGAGCAAAAUUAUAAGUGCCAACUUAUUUUCAAAAGCCAAAUCUGUAUUAGCCAACGCCUUUGGUGUUGUCUCUUACAACUUUGCGCCGUCCAUGGCCUAACCCUCGGGUUCGCCACGGUCCAUCGCGCUCGCCAUAUCUAGUAACGAGUCCGCGGUGUAAAUCACUAGGAGUAGGAACCUAUACACGCCCGGUGUAUAGACCCGAAAUUUAUCCGGGCUCGCCCAUAGCAUUUUUGCCGCUUUUCUAUGUUGGGGGCUAAAUAACAAAACAGCUAAGCAUGUAGAAGGCCGGUUCGUCGCUUUUUGGACGCGAGUUCAACUCUCGCCAUCUCCACGA
rnacentral:tmRNA from 1 species